CCUGUCCCUAGAGACCUUACAAGUGUGACUGCUAUGUCACAUGUGCCUCAGUAGGUGGCAGAGAGGGAGAGU
ensembl:snoRNA LOC120096413 small nucleolar RNA SNORA17